rnacentral:rRNA from 1 species
GACGAACGCUGGCGGCGUGCUUAACACAUGCAAGUCGAACGGAAAGGCCUGCUUUCCCUUGUGGUUUGCGGGUACUCGAGUGGCGAACGGGUGAGUAACACGUGAGUGAUCUGUUCCCAACUUGGGUAUAAGCGUGGGAUACUGGGUCUCAUUCUCGAUCGGACUGCAGGGUGGUGCCGGUGGUGGAAAAUGGUGUUCUAGAGGUUGGGGAUGAGCUCGCGGCCUAUUGGCUGGUUGGUGGGGUAAAGGCCUACCAAGGCGACGAUGGUUAGCUGGCCUGAGAGGAUGAUACGCAACAAUGGAACUGAGAGACGGGCCAGACUCCGACGGGAGGCAGCAGUGGGGAAUAUUGGGCAAUGGGCGCAAGCCUGAUCCAGCCAUACCGCGUGGGUGAAGAAGGCCUUCGGGUUGUAAAGCCCUUUUGUUGGGAAAGAAAAGCAGCAGGUUACUACCCCGCUGUUCUGACGGUACCCAAAGAAUAAGCACCGGCUAACCUCGU